GAUGAACGCUGGCGGCGUGCCUAAUACAUGCAAGUCGAGCGAACAGAUGAGGAGCUUGCUCCUCUGACGUUAGCGGCGGACGGGUGAGUAACACGUGGAUAACCUACCUAUAAGACUGGGAUAACUUCGGGAAACCGGAGCUAAUACCGGAUAAUAUAUUGAACCGCAUGGUUCAAUAGUGAAAGACGGUUUUGCUGUCACUUAUAGAUGGAUCCGCGCCGCAUUAGCUAGUUGGUAAGGUAACGGCUUACCAAGGCAACGAUGCGUAGCCGACCUGAGAGGGUGAUCGGCCACACUGGAACUGAGACACGGUCCAGACUCCUACGGGAGGCAGCAGUAGGGAAUCUUCCGCAAUGGGCGAAGGCCUGACGGAGCAACGCCGCGUGAGUGAUGAAGGUCUUCGGAUCGUAAAACUCUGUUAUUAGGGAAGAACAAAUGUGUAAGUAACUAUGCACGUCUUGACGGUAUCUAAUCAGAAAGCCACGGCUAACUACGUG
rnacentral:rRNA from 1 species